rnacentral:tRNA from 1 species
CAGGGAGACAACACAAUGAUUUUGAUGCCUGAGUACUUUUAUUCUUAGGCCGAAAUCCUGUCACCUUAGGUCGAUCGGUACCUCAGCUUUGAAGUUAAGGAUCAGCAGCAAUGUUGAUUGCUCGACGGAGAUUUUCAGUUCCUAAACUUUGUCUAGGUCACACCCCAAAAGGGAUGAGACUCCUGGGCCAUUAGCUCAGGUGGUUAGAGCGCACCCCUGAUAAGGGUGAGGUCCCUGGUUCAAGUCCAGGAUGGCCCAUUCGGUGUUGGGGGUUUAGCUCAGUUGGUAGAGCGCCUGCUUUGCAAGCAGGAUGUCAGGAGUUCGAGUCUCCUAACCUCCACUGACCGAACUUGAUUCCCAUCUCCAAUUUUUUGGAGUUGAGCUCGAUUGGAGUGUGAUUUAGAUGUGUCCGCUGGAUGACCCCAGCUUCCUGUCAUUCCAAGUUUUAGGUUAAAGCCUUGAAUUUGGUUGAUAAGAUGCUGGGCUCGGAUCAAAUGAUCAAGCAAUUGAUGAUUUGAUUUGAAGUUCUGGCAGAACCUUGACAACUGCAUAGGUGAGUCUGGAAAAAACAAAGCAUCUUACAGAUGCAUUGUUUUGAAUCUGAUCUUCUGAAAGGGAGAUUGGAUCUAGAACAAUGAAAAUUCUUUUGAGCAAGAGCCGAGACUCUUGAGCGUUCUUUGAUUGGUGUCGAGCCAAUCAGAGUUUGAUCUUGUUUUUAGCAAUAAAAACUUGAGAAUCUGCUUUCAACGGUGGUAAGCGUUCAGGAGGUUAAUU